rnacentral:rRNA from 1 species
GAACUGGGAUUACCUUAGUAACGGCGAGUGAAGCGGUAAAAGCUCAAAUUUGAAAUCUGGUACUUUCAGUGCCCGAGUUGUAAUUUGUAGAAUUUGUCUUUGAUUAGGUCCUUGUCUAUGUUCCUUGGAACAGGACGUCAUAGAGGGUGAGAAUCCCGUUUGGCGAGGAUACCUUUUCUCUGUAAGACUUUUUCGAAGAGUCGAGUUGUUUGGGAAUGCAGCUCAAAGUGGGUGGUAAAUUCCAUCUAAAGCUAAAUAUUGGCGAGAGACCGAUAGCGAACAAGUACAGUGAUGGAAAGAUGAAAAGAACUUUGAAAAGAGAGUGAAAAAGUACGUGAAAUUGUUGAAAGGGAAGGGCAUUUGAUCAGACAUGGUGUUUUUUGCAUGCACUCGCCUCUCGUGGGCUUGGGCCUCUCAAAAAUUUCACUGGGCCAACAUCAAUUCUGGCAGCAGGAUAAAUCAUUAAGAAUGUAGCUACUUCGGUAGUGUUAUAGCUUUUUGGAAUACUGUUAGCCGGGAUUGAGGACUGCGCUUCGGCAAGGAUGUUGGCAUAAUGGUUAAAUGCCGCCCGUCUUGAACCCCCCGGACCCA